rnacentral:rRNA from 1 species
GAUGAACGCUGGCGGCGUGCCUAAUACAUGCAAGUCGAGCGAACAGAUGAGGAGCUUGCUCCUCUGACGUUAGCGGCGGACGGGUGAGUAACACGUGGAUAACCUACCUAUAAGCCUGGGAUAACUUCGGGAAACCGGAGCUAAUACCGGAUAAUAUAUUGAACCGCAUGGUUCAAUAGUGAAAGACGGUUUUGCUGUCACUUAUAGAUGGAUCCGCGCCGCAUUAGCUAGUUGGUAAGGUAACGGCUUACCAAGGCAACGAUGCGUAGCCGACCUGAGAGGGUGAUCGGCCACACUGGAACUGAGACACGGUCCAGACUCCUACGGGAGGCAGCAGUAGGGAAUCUUCCGCAAUGGGCGAAAGCCUGACGGAGCAACGCCGCGUGAGUGAUGAAGGUCUUCGGAUCGUAAAACUCUGUUAUUAGGGAAGAACAAAUGUGUAAGUAACUAUGCACGUCUUGACGGUACCUAAUCAGAAAGCCACGGCUAACUACGUG